rnacentral:rRNA from 1 species
UCCCAGCGGUCCAAGUCGCAGCCACAAUUAUUGGGUCUAAAACAUCCGUAGCUUGUUAUACAAGUCUCUUGUGAAAUUCCAUAUCUCAAGUAUGGAGCGUGCAGGAGAUACUGUAUUGCUAGAGACUGGAAGACGUAAGAAGUACAAUCAAGGUAGUAGUAAAAUAUGUUGAUCUUGACUGGACUAACAACAGCGAAGGCAUCUUACGAGUACAGAUCUGACAGUGAGGGAUGAAGGCUAGGGGCGCGAAAAG